rnacentral:rRNA from 1 species
AUGUUUCUCAUGAUUGGAUGUUUCUCAUCUCGGUUGCUCUUAUUGGGAAAAAUAAACUGUAGGAUGACGCGAGGAGGCAGCAGCACGCAUGCUUGUGAGGAUGUCCUUGUUCGUCAUUCAGCAAGACAGGCAGGACACUCCCCCGAGCCAUAUCUGCAACCACCGCCUCCACCGCCAAAUCCACCCUUCACUAAACAAAUUAUGCGAAUGUUUGAGGAAAGAAGGAAUAAUGAUCUGAUUGAGUUAUUAAAAAGUUGGCAAGCUAUGGUUGGACAGAAUGGAAAUCCAAAUGGGCAUCACUCCCAGCUGUCAGAUUUUCAAAGGACUAAGCCUCCCAGUUUCAGUCAAGUGGUUGACACUUUGGAAGCAGAUGAUUGGUUGUGA